UUGUACCGAAUUCUAUUCAAUUCAUUAGAAUUCUUACUUUGAGACUUGAUUCUAUCGGUUUCGUCCCUAGAAUCUAUUUUCCCGUUACAGGGAGGUGACUGGUUAUCUGAGGGAAUGGUUCUUCUUGAUGGGUGGAAAAAUUCACACUACUGCUUGGAAGCAGCUGCUAUACCUGUUUCGGAGGAAGUUGGAGGAAAGGCUUGUCUAUGUUUUGUUUGUGGUUGAUGCCAAGGAUUUGAUUUUAAUUCUUUGUUUCAUUUCAAGCUUCCAUGAUUAAAGUUACACUAUAGACCAUCUGGUACCAUUCUUGCUUUUGAUUGUUUGCUCUAAAUCUCCAGGCCUCUUCCUUUGUAUGAUUGCCGCUUAACUGGUGCAAGUAUUCAGGUAUUUGGCAUGCAUCGUUAUGCAGUUGCAGAAUUUAGGGUGUCCCCCCCCUCCGCCCCUCUUUUUGCAACCAUGGUUGAUCCUUAUUUUGAUAGUUUGAAGGAUGCAGAUGCAGUGGUACCUAGAUUUUAAGCUUGGAAUAAACUUGACCCUGCUGGAGCAUCACUCGACACUAGCCAAUUGCAAAGCACAAAUUAAAUUUGAUUUUGGUUAUUAUAAUUUGUUCAUACAUUUGGUUUUUCCUUUUAUAUGGCUUUGAAAUGUACAUUGUUGUUUGACCUCUUAAUUAAAUGUAUCUUUAGAGUGCUGAAUCAAUAUCAUUGAUGCUAAUGAAGAGGUUUUUAAAUCA